AUGUGCACUCCUCUUUUCUUCAUUGGCUCUCUUUUUCUUUCUAGCUACUUUCUCCCAUGCUAUCGCCACGUUUACUUCAUCAACCAAUCCCAUUCUUCCCACUCUUCCCUAUCUUCACUGUUCAAACACGUGUUUUUUCUUACACGUGUCCCUUUCCCACCUUUCUAUAAAACCAACCCUCGUUUCCAUCACUUCAUCGUCUGCAUUACUAUUAGACGUUUUGAUUCCUUCUUUUAUUUUACAUCACUUGCUCUUACCAUACCAAAAAUGAUACAAACAAAAACAAAAACACUGAGUUCCUUGAGUUGA